AUUGAACGCUGGCGGCAUGCCUAACACAUGCAAGUCGAACGGGGCAGCAAUGCCUAGUGGCGGACGGGUGAGGAAUACGUAGGAAUCUGCCCUUAAGUGGGGGAUAACCAGGGGAAACCCUGACUAAUACCGCAUGAUCUCUUCGGAGCAAGAGGGGGGCCGGCAGGCCUCUCGCUUCCUGGUGGGCCUACGUCUGAUUAGCUAGUUGGUAGGGUAAAGGCCUACCAAGGCGACGAUCAGUAACUGGUCUGGAGAGGAUGAUCAGUCACACCGGAACUGAGACACGGUCCGGACUCCUACGGGAGGCAGCAGUGGGGAAUAUUGGACAAUGGGCGCAAGCCUGAUCCAGCAAUGCCGCGUGUGUGAAGAAGGCCUUCGGGUUGUAAAGCACUUUAGCCUGGAAAGAAAAAACUUUGGUUAACACCCAAAGUCUUGACAGUACCAGGAGAAUAAGCACCGGCUAACUCUGUGCCAGCAGCCGCGGUAACAC
rnacentral:rRNA from 1 species